rnacentral:rRNA from 1 species
UACGGAGGGUGCAAGCGUUAAUCGGAAUUACUGGGCGUAAAGCGUGCGUAGGCGGUGAUUUAAGUCAGAUGUGAAAGCCCUGGGCUUAACCUGGGAACUGCAUUUGAUACUGGGUCACUAGAGUUUAGUAGAGGAGAGUGGAAUUUCAGGUGUAGCGGUGAAAUGCGUAGAGAUCUGAAGGAACACCAGUGGCGAAGGCGGCUCUCUGGACUAAAACUGACGCUGAGGUACGAAAGCGUGGGUAGCAAAC